CAGCCGCCACGGUAAUACGAGGGGGGCAAGCGUUGUUCGGAAUUAUUGGGCGUAAAGGGCGCGUAGGCAGUUUGACAAGUCUUGUGUGAAAUCUCUGGGCUCAACCCAGAGUCUGCACGGGAAACUGUCGGGCUAGAGGAUGGGAGAGGUGAGUGGAAUUUCCGGUGUAGCGGUGAAAUGCGUAGAUAUCGGAAGGAACACCUGUGGCGAAAGCGGCUCACUGGACCAUUACUGACGCUGAGGCGCGAAAGCUAGGGGAGCAAACAGGAUUAGAUACCCCGGUAGUCCCUGUCUCUUAUAA
rnacentral:rRNA from 1 species